rnacentral:rRNA from 1 species
AUUGAACGCUGGCGGCAGGCCUAACACAUGCAAGUCGAACGAGUGGCGGACGGGUGAGUAAUGUCUGGGAAACUGCCCGAUGGAGGGGGAUAACUACUGGAAACGGUAGCUAAUACCGCCUACCAUCGGAUGUGCCCAGAGGGGAUGAGCUAGUAGGUGGGGUAACGGCUCACCUAGGCGACGAUCCCUAGCUUGUCUGAGAGGAUGACCAGCCACAAUGGAACUGAUACACGGUCGAGACUCCUAGGGGAGGCAGCAGAGGGGAAUAUUGGACAAUGGGCGCAAGCCUGAUGCAGCAAUGCCGCGUGUAUGAAGAAGGCCUUCGGGUUGUAAAGUAAUUGCAGCGGGGAGGCGUUACUCGCAGAAGAAGCACCGGCUAACUCCGUGCCAGCAGCCGCGGUAAUAC